rnacentral:rRNA from 1 species
UACGGAGGGUGCAAGCGUUGUCCGGAUUUAUUGGGUUUAAAGGGUGCGUAGGCGGAUUGGUAAGUCAGUGGUGAAAGUUUGCAGCUCAACUGUAAAAUUGCCAUUGAUACUGUCAGUCUUGAGUGCAGUCGAGGUGGUUGGAAUGCGUAGUGUAGCGGUGAAAUGCUUAGAUAUUACGCAGAACACCAAUAGCGAAGGCAGAUCGCCAGGCUGUAACUGACGCUGAGGCACGAAAGUGUGGGGAUCGAACGG